AUCUUGGUGGUAGUAGCAAAUAAUCGAAUGAGACCUUGGAGGACUGAAGUGGAGAAGGGUUUCGUGUGAACAGUGGUUGAUCACGAGUUAGUCGGUCCUAAGCUUAAGGCGAAAGCCGCAAAUUAAUAAAAAGUAUAAAAUUAUAUUAAAAUCAUUUUAUAUAAAUAUAAUAUAAUUUUAUAAUAAGAAAAAUAUGAUAAAAUUAAUUAAAAAAGUUUAAUCUCUCUAUAUAUUAUAUAAAGGGUUAACUUUUAAAAAAUUUAAUAAAAAUAAAAUCAUAUAAUAUUAUUAUAAAUAUUUUUAUAUUAAAAUGAUAAAAUUAACUUAAAAUACUUUAAAAUAUAAGCGAAAGGGAAUACGGUUCCAAUUCCGUAACCUGUUGAGUAUACGUUUGUAAUAAAUAUGGUCAUUAUGAUCAUCCUGGUAACAGAAACAAUCAUAGAGAAGCCGUCGAGAGAUAUCGGAAGAGUUUUCUUUUCUGUUUUAUAGUUGUACUACCAUGGAAAUCUUUUGAAGAGAGAUAUGGUAGAUGAACUAGAAGAGCAUGGCAUUUACUGCUGUGUCGAUAUUUUCUCCUCGGACCUUGAAAAUCUAUGAUUGGGCCACGCAAACUUCUCAACAGACCGUACCGAUAUCCGCAGCUGGUCUCCAAGGUGAAGAGUCUC
rnacentral:rRNA from 1 species